AAGGGGGACCUCGCCCGAGCGCGCCGUCUUGGGAGCGAGCAACGAGGCCAGAAACCCUACGCCCACGACUCCCCCCCACCUUUAUAUAAGCCGCUUUCACCUCUCCUUCUUAAUCUCUCUUUACCCUCGCCACUCCGAUCCUUCUCUUUAGGGAUUUGCUCUCUCUCACAUCUCCGUGGAGGUCGCGACGACAAGCAACAAGACAACCUCAAUCUCUCCGAUCUCGGUUCCGCUCUCCCCACCACCACUCCCGCUCUGAGCGCGGAGGACCGGGCCGGCCUCGUUAAUGCUCUGAAGAACAAGCUCCAGAGCCUAGCAGGGAAGCACUCUGAUGUGCUGGAGACCCUCUCGCCGAAGGUCAGGAAGCACGUUGAGGUGCUGAGGGAGAUCCAGGUUUGAUCUUUCUCCCCAAUCUUGAU